CAGCCCACUGUCCUUCUGAGCGUGCGUGCGUGUGUGAGCCCAGACGUGACAUCGUCAGUAGAGACCCUCCAUCUGAUUAAAACAAAACCAAACCAGAAAAAGCAAGCGGGGGAAAAAGAAAAGAAAAAACCGGCACAGAUGCGUGUCAGGUUAAGCUGGCGAUGGGGUGGACAUGCUCGCGUUGUUUGUAAGAUGCCAGAGAAGCUGUGGGUGGAUUUCAGCCCGGGUUUUGGUGCAACUCCCCUCCGUUUUGCUAUCGAGUCCAAUACAGCGGCUGAGCGGAUGGGCUGAAGUGAAGCUGGUCGUCUCUGCUCGGCGUGAGUGAUGAGCAGUAGAAUAGACAGGCUGUCACAGCACACCUGUAGGCCUGGCAGCCGAGUCCAUCAUUGGGCUGAGCCUUCACAGAGAUUAAAAACACUGCAUCCAUUAGGCCUUGUGUCAGCCGUCAUUAUUCUAUAAAGAAGCGAUUUUGUCACAUCUACAUUCUUCAGGCCGCUAUCCGCACGCAGAUGAAUAAGCGGGAUGUUCCAUCUCCAAACACGGCUCACUUUUGACAGGAACACAACCAUUUGUGACGCCAUCUCCCCAAUACUUCACACAUCCAUUGGGAAGGAAGCAUCAAAUAAGUCUUAAUGCAAUGAUCCCGCAGUCCAUCACCUGAUGGGACUUUAAGUUUUCCAGUCAUAUUUAUUCUCGGAAAUGUACGUUUCGUCCUAGAGCUGUCAUUCAAACGGGCUCACAAUUUAUUCUGCCAUGUGCAUUUAUCUGACAGGCCUUUGUUUUCUACAAUGUUCAACUGUGAUUCAAUUUUACACAUUGUAGUUUGACAGCUGUCAUUUGACAGGAACACAGGCCUCAUUGCGGACAGCGUAAGAAUAACAAAUUCAGACUGGAAAUAAGCAGCGCAGAGGGUGUCAAAUGAGUUUUUAAAGGCUUCAAACAUUUCAAAUUUAAUGGAGGAACACUUAAAGGUGUCACUGCUGGUGCAUUUCAAACUGCAUGUGUUUUUAAAGUUGUGUAUUUAAAGUCCAGGCUUUCGGUGAAGGUGAACACAAUAAUGAAAAAUCUGUCAUUUACUUGCUUUCAUGUUGCCCCAAACCUGUAUGACUUUCUUCCAUCUAAGGAACACAAAAGAAGCCAUUUAG
ensembl:lncRNA